AGAGUUUGAUCCUGGCUCAGGAUGAACGCUAGCGGCAGGCUUAACACAUGCAAGUCGAGGGGCAUCGGGAGGGAAGCUUGCUUUCCUUGCCGGCGACCGGCGCACGGGUGAGUAACACGUAUGCAACCUGCCCUCUUCAGGGGGACAACCUUCCGAAAGGGAGGCUAAUCCCGCGUAUAUCGGUUUCGGGCAUCCGAGAUCGAGGAAAGAUUCAUCGGAAGAGGAUGGGCAUGCGGCGCAUUAGCUUGACGGCGGGGUAACGGCCCACCGUGGCGACGAUGCGUAGGGGUUCUGAGAGGAAGGUCCCCCACACUGGUACUGAGACACGGACCAGACUCCUACGAGAGGCAGCAGUGAGGAAUAUUGGUCAAUGGGAGAGAUCCUGAACCAGCCAAGCCGCGUGAGGGAAGACGGCCCUAUGGGUUGUAAACCUCUUUUGUCGGAGAACAAAACCCGGGACGUGUCCCGGACUGCGUGUAUCCGAAGAAAAAGCAUCGGCUAACUCCGUG
rnacentral:rRNA from 1 species